rnacentral:misc_RNA from 1 species
CAAUCAAUGCAAUUACCGUAAUGAGAAUACACAACUUAAUUUUCUUCUCAGUUUCAAGCAUAUUUUACUACAUUGUUAAUGCUGUAUCUAUCAUAAAAACAAAAAAAAUGAUUUUGAGUGAUGCAGAUGGUAUUCAAUUUGAGUGGUAGAGCGUUUGAUUGAACGCAACUUUGCCAUGCGAAGUGUCGUGUCAGACGUGAUAUGGACUAAAAUGUACUUUGUUUCAUACUAAACAUAAUUAUGUUGAAGAGAAUAAUUGAAACAUUUUUUUUUUCCCAUUUCAUGUCAAAAUAUCGAGUUCCGCAAAAUGAAAAUAAAAAAGAUGGUAAAUAUCCCGCUUAUGAAUAUUUUAAUUGAAACAUCAUAAAAAGUGUUAUCAAUCGACCCAUGGUUUGAAUGAGCUAAUUGUGUUGCUUUGAGAAAGAUAAAGAAAAUGUUAGGAUCUUAGCGGAGUCAAUACAAUAAAUAACAAUAAUAAAUCGAAAAACUUGAUGCAGACUGUAUAAUAUAUAGAUAGUGUCUAUACUAUCAUUUUAAAGAUUGUUUUGGAGGUAGCCCAUAGAGGAGUAAUCGAGUAUAUUGAACAAUUUGUCAGAGGUACUGAGGUGUUUGUUACUAUAUAGUUUUAUUUCAUACC